rnacentral:rRNA from 1 species
GGAGAGUUUGAUCCUGGCUCAGGAUGAACGCUAGCGGCAGGCCUAAUACAUGCAAGUCGAACGGUAAAUAUUUAGCAAUAAAUAUGAGAGUGACGUACGGGUGCGUAACACGUAUGCAACCUACCCUUUACAGGCGGAUAGCUCGGGGAAACUCGAAUUAACCCGCCGUAAUAUAAUUGGAUGGCAUCAUCUGGUUAUUAAAUCUACGGAGGUAAAGGAUGGGCAUGCGUCUGAUUAGUUAGUUGGCGGGGUAACGGCCCACCAAGACGAUGAUCAGUAGGGGAACUGAGAGGUUGAUCCCCCACACUGCACUGAGAUACGGGCCAGACUCCUACGGGAGGCAGCAGUAGGGAAUAUUGGUCAAUGGAUGGAAGUCUGAACCAGCCAUGCCGCGUGCAGGAAGAAGGCCUUCUGGGUUGUAAACUGCUUUUGCCAGGGGAUAAAAUGACCUUGCGAGGUUAAUUGAAGGUACCUGGUGAAUAAGCCACGGCUAACUACGUGCCAGCAGCCGCGGUAAUUCCAGCUCCAAUAGCGUAUAUUAAAGUUGUUGCAGUUAAAAAGCUCGUAGUUGGAUCUCGGGUACUAGCAUGUGGUACGCUUAAUUGCUGUUACUGCUUGUCUAGUCCUAAUCAAUCGGUUGGCCGUUUAUGCCCUUUAUUGGGUGUUUUCGGUAGCCGGUACGUUUACUUUGAGAAAAUUAGAGUGCUUAAAGCAGGCUUUACGCCUGAAUAAUGUUGCAUGGAAUAAUAGAAUAGGACCUCGGUUCUAUUUUGUUGGUUUUGUAGAGCAUUGAGGUAAUGAUUAAUAGGGACAGACGGGGGCAUUCGUAUUGCGGUGUUAGAGGUGAAAUUCUUGGAUCGCCGCAAGACGAACAACUGCGAAAGCAUUUGCCAAGAAUGUUUUCAUUAAUCAAGAACGAAAGUUGGAGGUUCGAAGACGAUUAGAUACCGUCCUAGUUCCAACCAUAAACGAUGCCAACUAGCGAUUAGCUGCUGUUAAUUAAACGACACAGCUAGCAGCUUCCGGGAAACCAAAGUUUUUGGGUUCCGGGGGAAGUAUGGUUGCAAAGCUGAAACUUAAAGGAAUUGACGGAAGGGCACCACCAGGAGUGGAGCCUGCGGCUUAAUUUGACCCAACACGGGAAACCUCAUCCGGCCCGGACACUGUAAGGAUUGACAGAUUGAGAGCUCUUUCUUGAUUCGGUGGGUGGUGGUGCAUGGCCGUUCUUAGUUGGUGGAGCGAUUUGUCUGGUUAAUUCCGAUAACGAACGAGACUCUAGCCUGCUAAAUAGUACGCCGAUCUUUAGUCGGCGCGUACUUCUUAGAGGGACAAGUGGCGGAUAGCCACACGAAAUUGAGCAAUAACAGGUCUGUGAUGCCCUUAGAUGUUCGGAGCCGCACGCGCGCUACACUGAAGGGAUAAGCGUGUUCUUCCUGCUCCGAUAGGAGUGGGUAACCCGCUGAAACCCCUUCGUGAUUGGGAUCGGGGCUUGCAAUUAUUCUCCGUGAACGAGGAAUUCCUAGUAAGCGCGAGUCAUAAGCUCGCGUUGAUUACGUCCCUGCCCUUUGUACACACCGCCCGUCGCUACUACCGAUUGAAUGGUUUAGUGAGAUCUUCGGAUUAGUCCGGAAGUGGCCGCAAGGUUGCCUCUAGGUUCUGAGAAGAUGAUCAAACUUGA